rnacentral:tRNA from 1 species
GUUGGGAUGUAGCUCAGUGGCAAAGUGUUGCCUUGCAUUCUCAAAGCCCUGGGUUCGACACCCAGUUCCAAAA